rnacentral:misc_RNA from 1 species
UUGUAAGCUCGAUCACCAAAUGAUUUAGGGUCAAUUUUUCCAUAAAGAGACUCAGGUUCACCAGAGGGUUCAUGAGUAUCUCGGGGACGAGAAUCAGUAGUUAGAACAAGACUUGAGUUCGCUCUAUACUCAUACUGUUUGAAACGUGCAUGUGCUUCUGCACCACCGCCCAAAUUCGACAUCUUCCAGUCGAAAAUCAGAAAACCGGAGUCGGAGAGAGAGAUUCGAACGCUUCCGACUAUGCCGCAAGUGGAAAUGAUACUAUAUAGUAACUGAUUAGUAGUACUAAUAUGUAGGACUCACAACCGACUCGAAGAAUCGGAGGACAGUCGCCGCCUCUAAGGAUGGAAGAAGCUGAGUUUCUACGGAGUGAAGUGUUAUUUGAUAGAUGCCCUAUCGUGGUGAG